rnacentral:rRNA from 14 species
GUACCCUGAGUAGGUGGGGGCAGGUGAAACCCCCUCUGAACCAGCCGGCACCAUCCGGCAAGGCUAAAUACUUCUGGAAGACCGAUAGUGGACCAGUACCGUGAGGGAAAGGUGAAAAGCACCCCGACGAGGGGAGUGAAAGAGACCUGAAACCGGAUGCCUACAAGCAGUUGGAGCCCAAGGUCCGUCCUGGGUGACAGCGUACCUCUUGCAUAAUGGGUCAGCGACUUAAUCUGGCAAGCAAGCUUAAGCCGAUAGGUGUAGGCGCAGCGAAAGCAAGUCUUAAUAGGGCGAAUGAGUUUGUCGGAUUAGACCCGAAACCAGGUGAUCUAGAUAUGAGCAGGUUGAAGGUGCAGUAACAUGCACUGGAGGACCGAACCCACGCCUGUUGAAAAAGGCGGGGAUGACUUGUGCCUAGGGGUGAAAGGCCAAUCAAACUCGGAAAUAGCUGGUUCUCCGCGAAAUCUAUUUAGGU